rnacentral:pre_miRNA from 1 species
UUAACUCAAAUUUGUAUGGAGCUGGAAAGUUUAGCUACGUCUGCCGCUAGGGGCGCUGUUCCAAUUGCAUACUAAUUUGAGUGA